GGGCUUUAGCGCGAGCUGGGCGGUCGGCCCGGUCCCACCGAACUGCAUAGGGCCGUGUAGCCGGGGGAAGUCAGCCCCCUGCUCUGAGAAGCAGACUCUGCAUCUGUAAAAGGCUAAGCGUGCCCACUGGGGCCUGUGGUCAGGAUUGGCUGCAGUGAGGUCCGCAAAGCCCCUACCGCAUCCUGCGCCUUCGUUAGGGUGAGCAGUCAUGGGGACUCGCAUUGUGCCACCACGUAGCGGGUCUCACUGGGUCCGCUUGUCUGCUCGAGGAGACAGCCGGUGAGGACGGGAGCUGGCCUGCUUUGCCCAGGCUGUAACCUCAGCCUCCGCCCAUACCCACAGUAAGCAUCCAUUCCAUUGAUAUUCGCUAAAUGAGUGAAUUAUUACUAAGACAGAGGGCCGAGUGGAAGCGCCAUAAAUCACGUGAGUGAAUGUAAUUGUUGUCGCUGACCCUAUGGAGCACUUCCCUUGCCAGGCACUCACCCAUCCUAGGUAUGUACUUUACAUGUAAUUGUCAUCUUCAUUUGUCUUCACAACAACCCUGUGAGGUGGGUGCUGUGGUUACUCCCAUUUUACAGAUAGGUAACUGAGGCACACAGAGCAUUUUGUUCAAGGACACACUGCCAGUCAGGGGUAGGAGCAGAAUGAGAACCUAUGGAGCUUGCUCUUAGGCACCCUGCCACACUGCUCACUGUGGGAGAGAAGCAGCCAGGCAGACGUGUGCAGCUUGGAAUUCCUUGCACACAUGGCUGCGGCAGGUCAAUUAGGUGCCCUGGUGUGUGCUGCAAAGAUGGAUACUAUGCGGUCCCUGCUGGGCACUCUGACUACUUCACUGGGCAGCUAGUUUUCCUGUUCACCAAGAGAAUUCUUUCCCAUGGCUUGUCUCAGACCUCCCGCACUCACUACUUCCUCACCGGACUCAAUGACCAUGGGUCUUAUCCCAUUGAGAAAAUGUAAUGCAUAAGAAUGGAAUGCACUCCUUCACAAUCACUUUGGCAUUCAUCGCCUCUUUUCCUCUUGCCCCAAAAGAGGGUCUCUUACAGAGGCCAGUCCCUCUAACUGUGUCCUGGAUCCCUCCCCAUUUGCCUUCUUUAUUAUAGGCAGUGCUCUAAGUGUGGUCUGGGAAUCCCUGGGGAUCCUGAGACCCUUUCAGACUGUCCAUGGGGCCAAAAAAUACUUUCAUAACACUUAAGACUUUACUUGCUUUUUCAUUGUUUUUCUCUCAUAAGUAUAUGGGGGGAUUUUCCAGAAGCUACAUGAUGUGUGAUAUUGCAACAAAUUGAAUGCAAAAGAAGGUAAGAGAUCCAGCGGUCUUGUACUAAGCCAGAUGUUAAAGAGAUCUGCAAAAAUAGAAAACUGCCCCUCUUUUCACUUUUUUGGAAAGUGUAAUUUUUCAUUAGAGAACGUUAACAUCUAAUGGGUUUAUUAUUUUUAAUGAGUUAAUAAAUUUUUUAUCAAUUGUA
rnacentral:lncRNA from 1 species